rnacentral:rRNA from 1 species
UGGGGAAUAUUGGACAAUGGGCGAAAGCCUGAUCCAGCCAUGCCGCGUGAGUGAUGAAGGCCUUAGGGUUGUAAAACUCUUUCGCCGGGGAAGAUAAUGACGGUACCCGGAGAAGAAGCUCCGGCUAACUUCGUGCCAGCAGCCGCGGUAAUACGAAGGGAGCUAGCGUUGUUCGGAAUUACUGGGCGUAAAGCGCACGUAGGCGGGCUAUUAAGUCAGGGGUGAAAUCCCGAGGCUCAACCUCGGAACUGCCUUUGAUACUGAUAGUCUUGAGAUCGGGAGAGGUGAGUGGAAUUCCUAGUGUAGAGGUGAAAUUCGUAGAUAUUAGGAAGAACACCAGUGGCGAAGGCGGCUCACUGGCCCGAUACUGACGCUGAGGUGCGAAAGCGUGGGGAGCAAACAGGAUUAGAUACCCGCGUAGUCCCUGAGCGGGCUGGCAAGGCGCAU